UCACUGUUAAUUUCUUUUGCUUCAAG
rnacentral:piRNA from 1 species